UAAGAUUGCUCUUUUUCUUUUUACAAGGGAUAAGAUUGCUCUUGACGUCAAAGGGGAGAGGGAGGAUUAGGUCCAUGAUGAAGCAGCCAUCUGGCAGCUUGUUGGCAUCCCAGUUGCAGAUCCAUUGGCAGCCAUCUGGGAGGAUUAGGUAGAUCCAUUGCUGAUUCACCACCCUGGAUGAGCCUUUGUUAGGUGGUCAGGUGGCGGCUUUAAUGUUCAGCCAUCAAUGGUGAUUUUUCUUCAGCAAGUUCUCAUGAUGGAUCACAUAUUUUUCUCAGUAGGUGGGGAGGCGAUAUCAACGAGAAAGUUGACAUAAUCGGCAGCCACCAGUCAUCAGGAUUCAGCUCAAGCAACCCCAAUACUGCUUAAUCAUCUUCCACUGCAGUGUUGAAGAUGAAACUAGGGAAGACGGUUGUGAUGUCCCUGAAUUUUUGAGGGGUAAGAAAUCAGUAAACAAUACUAGAGCCCUGGCUUGUAUUUAUGGAUCUCUUUUGCUGUACUACUUUGCAGAUAAGAUUUUGCAUGGAUUCCAAACAUUAGCAUGUUUGACAAAACAUCAUGAUAUACCUACUUUUCCAUAAAGAUCACAAGAACAGAUGCAAACCUUAGAUAGGGCAGUGUCAUGUUCUUUAACAGGUUUGGG
rnacentral:lncRNA from 1 species